UCCGGUUGAUCCUGCCGGAGGCCAUUGCUAUCGGAGUCCGAUUUAGCCAUGCUAGUUGUGCGGGUUUAGACCCGCAGCGGAAAGCUCAGUAACACGUGGCCAAGCUACCCUGUGGACGGGAAUACUCUCGGGAAACUGAGGCUAAUCCCCGAUAACGCUUUGCUCCUGGAAGGGGCAAAGCCGGAAACGCUCCGGCGCCACAGGAUGCGGCUGCGGUCGAUUAGGUAAACGGUGGGGUAACGGCCCACCGUGCCCAUAAUCGGUACGGGUUGUGAGAGCAAGAGCCCGGAGACGGAAUCUGAGACAAGAUUCCGGGCCCUACGGGGCGCAGCAGGCGCGAAACCUUUACACUGUACGAAAGUGCGAUAAGGGGACUCCGAGUGUGAAGGCAUAGAGCCUUCACUUUUGUACACCGUAAGGUGGUGCACGAAUAAAGACUGGGCAAGACCGGUGCCAGCCGCCGCGGUAAUACCGGCAGUCCGAGUGAUGGCCGAUCUUAUUGGGCCUAAAGCGUCCGUAGCUGGCUGAACAAGUCCGUUGGGAAAUCUGUUCGCUUAACGGGCAGGCGUCCAGCGGAAACUGUUCAGCUUGGGACCGGAA
rnacentral:rRNA from 1 species